UAGGUAGGUGGCAAGCGUUAUCCGGAAUUACUGGGCGUAAAGCGCACGCAGGUGGUUUGCUAAGAUUGACGUGAAAGCUUCUGGCUUAACUGGAAGAGGUCGUUGAUGACUGGCAGGCUUGAGACGAGGAGAGGGGUGCAGAAUUCCCGGUGUAGUGGUGGAAUGCGUAGAGAUCGGGAGGAAUACCAGAGGCGAGAGCGGCACCCUGGCCUUAGUCUGACGCUCAGGUGCGACAGCGUGGGGAGCGAACGGG
rnacentral:rRNA from 1 species